rnacentral:rRNA from 1 species
UACGGGGGGAGCAAGCGUUGUUCGGAUUUACUGGGCGUAAAGGGCGCGUAGGCGGUCAGUGCAAGUCAGUUGUGAAAUCUCCGGGCUUAACUCGGAAAGGUCAACUGAUACUGCUCGACUAGAGUGCGGAAGGGGCAACUGGAAUUCUUGGUGUAGCGGGUGAAAAUGCGUAGAUAUCAAGAGGAAGACCAGUGGCGAAGGCGGGUCUCUGGACAGUUCCUGACACUGAGGCACGAAGGCCAGGGGAGCAAACGGG